rnacentral:rRNA from 1 species
GACGAACGCUGGCGGCGUGCUUAACACAUGCAAGUCGAACGGAAAGGCCCUGCUUUUGUGGGGUGCUCGAGUGGCGAACGGGUGAGUAACACGUGAGUAACCUGCCCCUGACAUUGGGAUAACUCCAGGAAACUGGGGCGAAUACCGGAUAGGAGCUCCUGAUGCAUGGGGGGGGUUGGAAAGAUUCGGCGGUGGGGGAUGGACUCGCGGCUUAUCAGCUUGUUGGUGGGGUAGUGGCUUACCAGGGCUUUGACGGGUAGCCGGCCUGGGAGGGUGACCGGCCACAUUGGGCCUGAGAUACGGCCCAGACUCCUACGGGAGGCAGCAGUGGGGAAUAUUGCACAAUGGGCGGAAGCCUGAUGCAGCGACGCCGCGUGCGUGAUGACGGCCUUCGGGUUGUAAACCGCUUUCGCCUGUGACGAAGCGUGAGUGACGGUAAUGGGUCAAGAAGCACCGGCUAACUACGUG